CAAAGAUCACCAUGCACAGGAGAAGAAAAAGGGGACUGAGUUUACUGAGCCCGGGAGAAAAGAUGAGACUAACUGGGAAUCAAAUACGCCACUGCUCAAGAUCCGUCCGCGGUACACGGAGCCAGAGUCAACCUGAUGUUGCCAUAGGAACCAGAUUCUUCCCCAGCGCCAUGGCAACAGACUCCAAAGUGUGUUAAACACAGUCUGCUCACAGGGCACGUCCUCAGCUGAGGAAGUGAGCAGCAGGAAGUGGGGGCGUUGUGCACGGAUGUUUCCUUCACCGAUUGGUUAGAAAUGCGAGUAAGCGAGGCUCACUCUGAAUGGAGGCGGUCGUGGCCAGCAUCACAUGAGGCUCACUCCGACACACAGCGGACUCCACUGCACCUCUGGGACACCAUCACUAACCACCUGAUGUAAUCACAGUCUUCAGCCAGUCACUGAUGAGACUGCAUCAUCUCAUAGCUAGGAGGGUCUUUCCAGAUGUUCCAGUCCAACUUCCUCUGGACGAAGCUGCCUGUCAUCACUCACUAAGGACACAUUUGUCCCCCUGAGCUCACCACUUUGCAAGAUGGACAUUCAAGUGCACCUUGCUGGUUUCUAAACUCUGCAUCCCUGUUAUUCCUACCCAAGAACUAGUUCUGCUUCCUAAAGCCACUCACAAUUAGUCUGAUGUUCCUCCCCUGUGGUAGUCCUUCUUGUAUUUGAAAUCAGCUUUGACUUGCCCCAAACACCCUCCUCUCUAGGCUGAACACCCUCUGAUUCCUGCUCAGUUCUUUGCACAUCACGGUUCUAGACGGUUCCCUUAGGCUUCCUCACUGGAUGGGACCAGUGCAAGAGGAAUUUCCUUGAUCCUCUGGAGACGUGGAGGGCAAUGGCCCAGAUGUACGUGGCCUGCACAGAGGGCAGGGGAC